rnacentral:rRNA from 1 species
CCCUUAGAUGUUCUGGGCCGCGCGCGUGCUACACUGAGUGGAUCAGCGGGUCAGGUUGCGCGAAAGCGUUUCCUAAUCUUUAAAUCCGCUCGUGAUGGGGAUUGACGGUUGCAAUUUUCUGUCAUGAACGAGGAAUACCUUGUAAGCGCGGGUCAUCAUCCCGCGCUGAAUACGUCCCUGCCCUUUGUACACACCGUCCGUCGCUCCUACCGAUUGAGUGGUCCGGUGAGGCUUUGGGAUCUGAGCGGAAAGAGCGUUUCGCUGUUUCUGCUCGGAAAACUCAGUCGAACCUUAUCAUUUAGAGGAAGGAGAAGUCGUAACA